AAUGCUACACUCAGUGCUUUCUUUUAAGCGUGGAGCUAGUAACGAAACUGAAUAUAUCAAGAGGCAAUAUAUCGACUGAUCAAAAGUGUAAAAACGAAAGUUGUUUUACCCACUCUACGAACCUUUUGUAACCACAGAACUUACCUAAUUACUUCUGUGUUUGCAGCAUUCGAUUCCCAAAAUUUCGGUGUUCAAAAUAUUUAUUUUAUACCGAGUUGUAAACUAGGAUUAUAAUAACUUAACAUCUCUGAAAAGUACAAAUGAGUAACAAUAUUCUCAGAUUGAUGUUACAUAAAUAUAUCACCCGACGAAAGAUAAAUUUUUAGCCAAUUUUCUGUAGCAACAGCUGAACAUUCCAAUUUAUACCCUGAAUAAUUUGGAUCAAACAAAUUUCAAAUCUUUCAAGUAGCAUUUCCGCUUAUAUUUUUUGCACGUGGCAGUGACAGACCGUAUUUCGGAUGCAUACGCCCUAUUAUAUACAUAACCUACUUGAAGAAAGGGAAAACAUGUAAACAUUAGAAACUAUUACCCUUACCUACUUUGCUUAAAUCAUUCUCAAGUCACGACAAAACUGUACAGUUUAUUUUCACAAAUUUAAGCUCAGUUUAUAGGGCACUGAAUAUAUUUUAGAAAUAAUUAAGGAUUUGAUCGUUCAAUUUGGAAACUAGAGUUAAAACUGAGCUAUAACAUAAAUAAUACAAGGUGUGGCAAUGGCACAAAUUUGUAUUACCCUUUUCACUAAGCUUCCUGGAAUAAGUAAUAAUAUUCGUUUUUGAUCUAUACUGCGCAUGCUUGAGAACGCGCAGAAUCGAGCUGGAACCUCGGAGGAUGGAGAAAUCGUUGCCGUGCUACCUUCCUUAGUGGAAACAACUUCCACUUAUAAAAACUAUCCGUAUAGAAUUAUUACAUAAUGAGAAUAAUAUUUAAGAAAAAAACAGUAAAAACGAAAAAAAAAAGUAUUUUAUAUAUUUUAUUUUAUUUAAUUAACGCAUUUUAAGUCAACUGCCCUAUAUAAUACUGAAACAUAUUGGAUUCUUCACAAGCAAUGUGCGAGAUAUUGGCAAAAAUCUGGACAUAACAUGAAACAACAGUUUUUCGUCAAUUCUGAAAACUUUGUUUUUUUAACUUAGUGCAGUGUUUUUCUGAGUGUGCGCUGUGUAAACCAACAUACUUAUGAUAUACCCUCUAUAAAAUAACAGUAAUUGAAGGAAUCUAUUCAUUAUAUAAUGUAGAAGAAACAUUUUAAUUAACCUUUAUUCCUACGAAAAAUUUAUUCCUGCACUUUACUCCCUUUUUGUUUUCAAAUUGAUUUUGGAGAUUUAACCUCAAAAAAAAACAAUCGUCUUUUCAAUGUGAAAUUUUUUAUAGAAAAUAGGUACUAAUUAGUGAAAAAAUGAUAAUAUUUUUGCAAUUUAAAUAUUCCGUUAGUCAGAAGCAGGGUAUAAAAAACAUUAGACUAGCAGCAAACAGAAUAAUAUUUGAUUGACCAUUUGGCUAUACUAAAUGUUUUACUCUGAAAAAGAACAGGAUGCAGUAGACACAUAAAAAACUCACAUGUUUACAUCACUGACUGAAAACAGUUUUUUGUAAUUUUUUUUCGAUUGUUAGCCACUAAAUUUUGCAUUAAAAAAAAUUUAACAAAGUAUAUUAUUCGUGGAAUAAUUUGGUAAGUAAAUUAUAACUAUGAUUCUAUUUAUACUUUUGGAAAAUAUGAUUUAGAGAAGCAAGUAUAAAUAAUUUCAAGGAAAUAAAAUCAUUAAUAAUAGUAUAAAACCAUGAGAGUAUGAAAACUUCUAUAACAUCACAUGUUAAAAAUAUAUCUUGUUUCUUUAUUCUAGUUAAUUGCAUCAAUGUACACAUUCCGUCGAGGGGAUUUUUUAAAAACUAAUAUAUUUUCAAAUAAACUAUAGUAAUGAAAAUAGUUUUUAUUAAUUGAUUGCGUUAAUUUCAUAAGCUCAUCUCAAAAAUAACAUUUUAAAAAUAACAUUUCACACGUUGUUCCGCAACAAGUGUCAUUCACUUUUAAUUUUUAAAAUAAACUAUUACAACAUA